rnacentral:rRNA from 1 species
UACGGAGGGGGCUAGCGUUGUUCGGAAUUACUGGGCGUAAAGCGCGCGCAGGCGGGUCAUCAAGUCAGGGGUGAAAGCCCAGAGCUCAACUCUGGAACUGCCUUUGAAACUGCUGGUCUUGAGUUCGAGAGAGGUGAGUGGAAUUCCGAGUGUAGAGGUGAAAUUCGUAGAUAUUCGGAGGAACACCAGUGGCGAAGGCGGCUCACUGGCUCGAUACUGACGCUGAGGUGCGAAAGCGUGGGGAGCAAACAGG